UGUGUGUUAGUGGAAGCGUCUGGAAAGGCGCGCGAUACAGGGUGACAGCCCCGUACACAAAAAUGCACAUGCUGUGAGCUCGAUGAGUAGGGCGGGACACGUGGUAUCCUGUCUGAAUAUGGGGGGACCAUCCUCCAAGGCUAAAUACUCCUGACUGACCGAUAGUGAACCAGUACCGUGAGGGAAAGGCGAAAAGAACCCCGGCGAGGGGAGUGAAAAAGAACCUGAAACCGUGUACGUACAAGCAGUGGGAGCACGCUUCGGCGUGUGACUGCGUACCUUUUGUAUAAUGGGUCAGCGACUUAUAUUCUGUAGCAAGGUUAACCGAAUAGGGGAGCCGAAGGGAAACCGAGUCUUAACUGGGCGUUAAGUUGCAGGGUAUAGACCCGAAACCCGGUGAUCUAGCCAUGGGCAGGUUGAAGGUUGGGUAACACUAACUGGAGGACCGAACCGACUAAUGUUGAAAAAUUAGCGGAUGACUUGUGGCUGGGGGUGAAAGGCCAAUCAAACCGGGAGAUAGCUGGUUCUCCCCGAAAGCUAUUUAGGUAGCGCCUCGUGAAUUCAUCUCCGGGGGUAGAGCACUGUUUCGGCAAGGGGGUCAUCCCGACUUACCAACCCGAUGCAAACUGCGAAUACCGGAGAAUGUUAUCACGGGAGACACACGGCGGGUGCUAACGUCCGUCGUGAAGAGGGAAACAACCCAGACCGCCAGCUAAGGUCCCAAAGUCAUGGUUAAGUGGGAAACGAUGUGGGAAGGCCCAGACAGCCAGGAUGUUGGCUUAGAAGCAGCCAUCAUUUAAAGAAAGCGUAAUAGCUCACUGGUCGAGUCGGCCUGCGCGGAAGAUGUAACGGGGCUAAACCAUG
rnacentral:rRNA from 1 species